rnacentral:tRNA from 1 species
ACCUGGGUGGCUCAGCCGGUUGAGCGUCCGACUUUGGCUCAGGUCAUGAUCUCACGGUCUGUGGGUUCGAGCCCCACGUCAGGCU